UGGGGAAUUUUGCACAAUGGGGGAAACCCUGAUGCAGCGACGCCGCGUGAUUUAGAAGGCCUUCGGGUUGUAAAAAUCUUUUCUAUGGGAAGAAAAUGACAGUACCAUAGGAAUAAGGACCGGCUAAUUACGUGCCAGCAGCCGCGGUAAUACGUAAGGUCCGAGCGUUGUCCGGAAUCAUUGGGCGUAAAGGGUACGUAGGCGGGUAAGCAAGUUAGAAGUGAAAUCCUAUAGCUCAACUAUAGUAAGCUUUUAAAACUGCUCAUCUUGAGGUAUGGAAGGGAAAGUGGAAUUCCUAGUGUAGCGGUGAAAUGCGCAGAUAUUAGGAGGAAGACAGGUGGCGAAGGCGACUUUCUGGCCAUAACCUGACGCUGAGGUACGAAAGCGUGGGUAGCAAACAGG
rnacentral:rRNA from 1 species